rnacentral:rRNA from 1 species
GACGAACGCUGGCGGCGUGCCUAAUACAUGCAAGUAGAACGCUGAAGAGAGGAGCUUGCUCUUCUUGGAUGAGUUGCGAACGGGUGAGUAACGCGUAGGUAACCUGCCUUGUAGCGGGGGAUAACUAUUGGAAACGAUAGCUAAUACCGCAUAACAAUGGAUGACACAUGUCAUUUAUUUGAAAGGGGCAAUUGCUCCACUACAAGAUGGACCUGCGUUGUAUUAGCUAGUAGGUGAGGUAAUGGCUCACCUAGGCGACGAUACAUAGCCGACCUGAGAGGGUGAUCGGCCACACUGGGACUGAGACACGGCCCAGACUCCUACGGGAGGCAGCAGUAGGGAAUCUUCGGCAAUGGGGGCAACCCUGACCGAGCAACGCCGCGUGAGUGAAGAAGGUUUUCGGAUCGUAAAGCUCUGUUGUAAGUCAAGAACGGGUGUGAGAGUGGAAAGUUCACACUGUGACGGUAGCUUACCAGAAAGGGACGGCUAACUACGUGCCAGCAGCCGCGGUAAUACGUAGGUCCCGAGCGUUGUCCGGAUUUAUUGGGCGUAAAGCGAGCGCAGGCGGUUUGAUAAGUCUGAAGUUAAAGGCUGUGGCUCAACCAUAGUUCGCUUUGGAAACUGUCAAACUUGAGUGCAGAAGGGGAGAGUGGAAUUCCAUGUGUAGCGGUGAAAUGCGUAGAUAUAUGGAGGAACACCGGUGGCGAAAGCGGCUCUCUGGUCUGUAACUGACGCUGAGGCUCGAAAGCGUGGGGAGCGAACAGGAUUAGAUACCCUGGUAGUCCACGCCGUAAACGAUGAGUGCUAGGUGUUGGAUCCUUUCCGGGAUUCAGUGCCGCAGCUAACGCAUUAAGCACUCCGCCUGGGGGGUACGACCGCAAGGUUGAAACUCAAAGGAAUUGACGGGGGCCCGCACAAGCGGUGGAGCAUGUGGUUUAAUUCGAAGCAACGCGAAGAACCUUACCAGGUCUUGACAUCCCGAUGCUAUUUCUAGAGAUAGAAAGUUACUUCGGUACAUCGGUGACAGGUGGUGCAUGGUUGUCGUCAGCUCGUGUCGUGAGAUGUUGGGUUAAGUCCCGCAACGAGCGCAACCCCUAUUGUUAGUUGCCAUCAUUCAGUUGGGCACUCUAGCGAGACUGCCGGUAAUAAACCGGAGGAAGGUGGGGAUGACGUCAAAUCAUCAUGCCCCUUAUGACCUGGGCUACACACGUGCUACAAUGGUUGGUACAACGAGUUGCGAGUCGGUGACGGCGAGCUAAUCUCUUAAAGCCAAUCUCAGUUCGGAUUGUAGGCUGCAACUCGCCUACAUGAAGUCGGAAUCGCUAGUAAUCGCGGAUCAGCACGCCGCGGUGAAUACGUUCCCGGGCCU